UACAGAGGUCCCAAGCGUUGUUCGGAAUUACUGGGCGUAAAGGGCGCGUAGGCGGCCUGUUAAGUCGAACGUGAAAUCCCCGGGCUCAACCCGGGAACUGCGUCCGAUACUGGCAGGCUUGAAUCCGGGAGAGGGAUGCGGAAUUCCAGGUGUAGCGGUGAAAUGCGUAGAUAUCUGGAGGAACACCGGUGGCGAAGGCGGCAUCCUGGACCGGCAUUGACGCUGAGGCGCGAAAGCCAGGGGAGCAAACGGG
rnacentral:rRNA from 1 species